GAUGAAGAACGCAGCGAAAUGCGAUAAGUAAUGUGAAUUGCAGAAUCCAGUGAAUCAUCGAAUCUUUGAACGCACAUUGCGCCCGCCAGCAUUCUGGCGGGCAUGCCUGUUCGAGCGUCAUUUCAACCCUCGACCUCCCUUUGGGGAAGUCGGCGUUGGGGACCGGCAGCACACCGCCGGCCCUGAAAUGGAGUGGCGGCCCGUCCGCGGCGACCUCUACGUAGUAAACCAACUCGCACCGGAACCCCGACGUGGCCACGCCGUAAAACACCCAACUUCUGAACGUUGACCUCGAAUCAGGUAGGACUACCCGCUGAACUUAAGCAUAUCAAUAAGCGGAGGA
rnacentral:misc_RNA from 1 species